AUGAGUUCAUGCCCUCACGGGUAGACCUCCACCCUUGCUUAUUAUAUACAUGUUGCUUUGGCGGAAGCUAUUGCCUCUUUCCAGAGGUAGUCGCCGCCGCCAGAGGACCCCAAACCCUGAAUAAUAGUGUCGUCUGAGUACUAUAUAAUAGUUA
rnacentral:misc_RNA from 1 species